rnacentral:tRNA from 1 species
ACCUGGCUGGUUCAGACAGAAGAGCAUGUGACUCUUGAUCUCAGGGUCAUGAGUUCAAGUCCCAUGUUGGAUG